GCCACAGUGGUCUAGCGGUCAGAACACUAGCCUUGUAAGCCUGGGGUCCCGGGUUCAAUUCCCGGUGGUGCUC
rfam:Zootermopsis nevadensis contig22312, whole genome shotgun sequence.